rnacentral:rRNA from 1 species
UACGGGGGGGGCAAGCGUUGUUCGGAAUUACUGGGCGUAAAGGGCUCGUAGGCGGCCAACUAAGUCAGACGUGAAAUCCCUCGGCUUAACCGGGGAACUGCGUCUGAUACUGGAUGGCUUGAGUUUGGGAGAGGGAUGCGGAACUCCAGGUGUAGCGGUGAAAUGCGUAGAUAUCUGGAGGAACACCGGUGGCGAAGGCAAUCCCCUGGACCUGUACUGACGCUCAUGCACGAAAGCGUGGGGAGCAAACAGG